GACAAAUUUUUCCAGAUCUCUGUUUGUGGUGAGGUGUAAUUAUGUGUGUUUUUCCUAGCUUAGUGUGUGCGUUCUUUCUUUUUGUUUCUGAGAAUGCUGUGUUGAGGGGGUUUUUGGAGAAAACGGUGGGGUUGGGAGGUUGUAGUACUUCAAACAAAGGUGAACGAUUUUUUAGGUGAGUGAGCGUUGUGUUUUAAAGGUUAUACUUUGUUAUAUUCACGUUCUUAUUGCGUUAUAUCAUGCUUCAGAAUUGGUCGUCAAUAUCCUUGUCUAGGUGAGAGUAUGUGUGACCAGCCCCCUCCCCGCCUUUUUUUUUUUUUUUUUUUGUCUUAUAGAGUGUCACUUUUGUCAUCCAGGCUGGAGUGCAGUGGCGGGAUGAGAGUUCACUAUGAUCUCGACUUCCUGGACUCAGAUGGUUCUCCCACUUCAGCUUCCGGAUCUAAUAUUUCAAUAAUUUCAAGAACACUGCAUUCAUUCCUCUCCACAUGAGCAAUUGCCAAAACAGACUCACCUGGCACUAAGGACUGCUCUGGUGGUCUUCGGAGGCUCCUGGGAUCGACUGCUUGGACAGAGGUGACAUCACCCAAUUAGUGAGAGCCAAGACCUAAGGCUGCAGCUGCCUUCCAGGUAUCUGCCACUCACUGUAGAACGAUCCCACAGUUCUGCAUUUCUGCCCUAUGCCCGCCAGUCACAAGAAGCUCCGGUCUCUUAUCCCAUGUCUGAUUCCUGAAACCUUGCUAAUUUUCCUACCAUCCUCCCUAUUCCCAGCCUCCUUUCUUCUUCUUCUUCUUCUUCUUCUUUUUUUUUUUUUUUUGAGGCUGAGUUUCACUCUUGUUGCCUAGGCUGGAGUGCAAUGGUGCGAUCUCGGCUCACUGCAACCUCCACCUCCUGGGUUCAAGCGAUUCUCCUGCCUCAGCCUCCAGAGUAGCUGGGAUUACAGGCAUGUGCCACCACGCCCGGCUAAAUUUUUUUUGUAUUUUUAGUAGAGAUGGGGUUUCUCCAUGAUGGUCAGGCUGGUCUCAAACUGCCAAACUCAGGUGAUCCACCCGCACUGGCCUCCCAAAGUGCUGGGAUUACAGGUGUGAGCCACUGUGCCCGGCCCCCCUUUCUUCGUUUGCUCUAUCCUCCCGCUGAAGACAUUGCUUUCCUCUUUCUGUUUGCUCUCCCCACCUCUCACUCCAUUGUGCCUUGCACCUGUGCUGCCCACUACCUCUCCUUGUUGCUGUUGUCUCUCCUGGCUGCUGGUCACUCCAUGCCAACACUUACUUUAUUCCUUGAAGGUUUUUAGCUCCUGGAGCACUGACUUUCUCCAGCAUAACUCCUGUCAUCAAUCGACACCCUGGUUCCCCAAUUCCUUGACCUCAGCUUUGACUACCCCAGCCACUCACUUCCCUGGUCUAACCCUAGGUCAUGUCAUUGUCGAUUGCCAUAACCCCAUCCACUUCGAGGGUCACACUCUCCAAUCACCUCUACCAUCCCUCCCUCUGCUACCCUUUGGUACCUGUCACCCCACUCCCCACCCCCUCAACCCGCAUCCCCAAAGUCCUUGGGCCCACCUCCAACUAAUCUAACUGCACCAACUCUAACAAACUGCACCUGUGUCACUGAGUGUAACUGGUGGAAGCUGACUGGGCUCACCUUAACCCUGGGCAAGCUGGGGGAAAAUAGACAUCCCACAUUUGCUACCUGGGGCCCAAUAAGUCUGCAUUAGUCUGUGCUCGUGCUGCUAAUAAAAACAUACCGGAGACUGGGUAAUUUAUAAAGAAAAAGAGGUUUAAUGGACUCACAGUUCCACGUGGCUGGGGAAGCCUCACAAUCAUGGUGGAAGGUGAAAGGCAUGUCUUACAUGGUGGAAGGUGAGAGAGAACUUGUGCAAGGGAACUCCCCUUUAUAAAACCAUCAGAUCUUGUGAGACUUAUUCACUAUCAUGAGAACAAUAUGGAAAAGUCCUGGCCCCAUGAUUCAAUUACCUCCCACUGGGUCCCUCCCAUGACACGUGGGAAUUAUGGGAGCUACAAUUCAAGAUGAGACUUGGGUGGGGACACAGCCAAACCAUAUCAUUUUGCUGUAGCCCCUCCCAAAUCUCAUGUCCUCACAUUUCAAAACCUAUCAUGCCUUCCCAACAGUCUCCCAAAGUCUUAUUUCAGCAUUAACUCAAAAGUCUACAGUCCAAAGUCUCAUCUGAGACAAGGCAAGUCCCUUCCGCCUACCAGCCUGUACAAUCAAAAGCAAGUUAGGGUCGGGCAUGGUGGCUCAUGCCUGUGAUCCCAGCACUUUGGGAGGCCAAGGCAGGCAGAUCAUCUGAGUUCGGGAGUUUGAGACCAGUCUGGCCAACAUAGUGAAACCCCAUCUCUACUAAAAAUACAAAAAAAUUAGCCGGGCGUGGUGGCACAUGCCUGUAAUCCCAGCUACUCGAGAGGCCGAAGCAGGAGAAUCGCUUGAACCCAGGAGGCAGAGGUUGCAGUGAGCCAAGAUCAUGGCACUGCACUCCAGCCUGGGUGACAGAGUGAGACUCUGUCUCAAAAAGAAAAAAAAAAAAGCAAGUUUGUUAAUUCCUAGAUACAAUGAGGGUACAGGCAUUGAGUAAAUACAGCUGUUCAAAAUGGGAGAAAUUGGCCAAAACAAAGGGGUUACAGAUCUCCUAUGCAAGUCUGAAGUCCAGUGGAGCAGUCAAAUCUUUUUUUUUUUUUUUUUUUUUUUGAGAUGGAGUCUUGCUCUGUCACCCAGGCUGGAGUGCAGUGGCAUGAUCUUGGCUCACUGCAACCUCCACCUCCCGGGUUCAAGCAAUUCUUCUGCCUCAGCCUCCUGAGUAGCUGGGAUUACAGGCACAUGCCACAAUGCCUGGCUAAUUUUUUUUGUAUUUUUAGUAGAGACGGAGUUUCACCAUGUUGGCCAGGCUGGUCUUGAACUCCUGAACUCAAGCGAUCCUCCCACCUUGGCCUCCCAAAGUGCUGGAAUUACAGGAGUGAGCCGACAUGCCUGGCAGCAGUCAAAUCUUAAAGCCCCAAAAUGAUUUCCUUUGACUCCAUGUCUCAUGUCCAGGUCACACUGAUGCAAGAGGUGGGCUCCCAUGGCCUUGGCAGCUCUGCCCCUGUGGCUUUGCAGGGUAUAGCCCCCCCUCCCAGCUGCUUUCACAGGCAGGCCUUGAGUGUCUGUGGCUUUUCCAGGAGCAAGGUGCAAGCUGUCAGUGGAGCUACCAUUCUGGGGUCUGGAGGACAGUGACUCUUUUCUUGCAGCUCCACUAGGCACUGCCCCAGUUGGGAGUCUGUGUGAGGGCUUGCACCCCACAAUUUCCCUUUGCACUGCCCUAGCAGUGGUUCUCCAUGAGGGCUCCACCCCUGCAGCCCACCUCUACCUGGACAUCCAGGCAUUUCUACACAUCCUCUGAAAUCUUGGCAGAGGUUCCCAAGCCUCAAUUCUUGACUUCUGUGCACUCGCAGGCACAACACCACAUGAAAGCUGCCAAGGCCUAGGGUUUGCACCCUCUGAAGCCACAGCCUGAGCUGCACCUUGGCCCCUUUUAGCUGUGGCUGGAGCAGCUGGGAUACAAGGCACCAAGUCCCCAGGCUGCACAGAGCAGGGGGGCCCUGGGCACAGCCCAUGAAACCAUUUUUUCCUACUAGGCCUCCAAGCCUGUGAUGGGAGGGUCUGCCACAUGAAGGUCUCUGACAUACCCUGGAGACAUUUCCCCCCACUGUCUUCAUGAUUAACAUUUGGCUUCUCGUUACUUAUGCAAAUUUCUGAGGCCAGCUUGAAUUUCUCCUCUGAAUUUUUUUUUUUUUUUUUUUUUUUUUGAGAUGGAGUCUUGAUCUGUUGCCAGGCUGGAGUGCACUGGCACAAUCUCGGCUCAUUGCAACCUCCGCCUCCCGGGUUCAAGCGAUUCUCCUGCCUCAGCCUCCCGAGUAGCUGGGACUACAGGUGUGUGCCACCAUGCCCAGCUAAUUUUUGUAUUUUCAGUAGAGACCGAGUUUCACCAGGUUGGCCAGGAUGGUCUCAAUCUCUUGACUUCAUGAUCUGCCCACUUCAGCCUCUCAAAGUACUAGGAUUACGGGCAUCAGGCACUGCACCCGGCCUGGGUUUUUCUUUUCUACCGCAUUGUCAGGCUGCAAAUUUUUUGAAAUUGUAUGCUCAUUUUAACUUUUUUUUUUUUUUUUAAUGGAGUCUUGCUCUGUCACCCAGGCCAGAGUGCAGUGGCGUGAUCUUGGCUCAUUGCAACCUCUGCCUCCUGGGUUUAAGCAGUUCUCUGCCUCAGCCUCCCAAGUAGUGGGGAUUACAGGAGCCCACCACAACACCCUGCUAAUUUUUGUAUUUUUAGUAGAGAUGGGGUUUCACUAUAUUGGCCAGGCUGGUCUUGAACUACUGACCUUGUGAUCUGCUCAACUCAGCCUCCCAAAGGGCUGGGACUACAGGCAUGAGCCACUGCUCCUGGUCUGUUUCACUUUUACAACUGAAUGCUGGCCAGAUGUGGUGGCUCAUCCCUGUAAUCCCAGCACUUUGGGAGGCCUAGGCAGGCAGAUCACGAGGUCAAGAGUUUGAGACAAGCCUGCCAAUAUGGUGAAACCCCAUCUCUACUAAAAAUACAAAAAUUAGCCUGGCGUGGUGGUGGGCGCCUGUGGUCCCAGCUACUCGGGAGGCUGAGGCAGGAGAAUUGUUUGAACCCAGGAUGUGAAGGUUGCAGUGAGCCGAGAUCACGCCACUGCAGUCAGUCCAGCCUGGGCGACAGAGCGAGACUCCGUCUCAAAAAAAAAAAAAAAAUAAGAACAGAAUGCUACUGGGCACAAUGGCUCAUGCCUGUAAUCCCACCACUUUGGGAGACUGAGGUGGGCAGAUCAAUUCACAUCAGGAGUUUGAGACCAGCCUGGCAAACAUGGUGAAACCCUAUCUCUAAUAAAAAUACAAAAAUUGGCUGGGUGUGGUGGCAGGCACAUGUAAUCACAGCUACUCAGGAGACUGAGGCACGAGAAUCACUUGAUUCUCUGCGGGCAGAGGUUGCAGUGAGCCGAGAUCUUGCCACUGCAUGCCAGCCUGGGCAACAGAGACUAUCUCAAAAAAACAAAAAUAGCAAAAACAACAACAAAUCCUGGAUGCUUUUAACAGCACCAAAGUCACCUCUUGAAUGUUUGCUGCUUAGAAAUUCUGUAACCGCCAGGCGUGGUGGCUCACGCCUAUAAUCCCAACAUGUUGGGAGGCCGAGGCAGGAGGAUCACCUGAGGUCAGGAGUUUGAGACCAGCCGGAUCAACAUGGAGAAACCUGGUCUCUACUAAAAAUACAAAAUUAGCCAAGUGUGGUGGCACAUGCCUGUAAUCCCAGCUGCUCAGGAGGCUGAGGCAGGAGAAUCGCCUGAACCCAGGAGGCGGAGGUUGGGGUGAGCUGAGAUCCUGCCAUUGCACUCCCCUGGGCAACAGGAGCGAAACUCCAUCACGAAAAAAAAAAAGAAAGAAAGAAAAAAAGAAAUUCUGUAAUCGCCGGCACGGUGGCUCACACCUGUAAUCCCAACACUUUGGGAGGACGAGGCAGGCAGAUCACCUGAGUUAGAGACCAGCCUGCCCAACAUUGCGAAACCCCACCUCUACUAAAAAUACAAAAUUAGCUGGGCGUGGUGGCGCAUCCCUGUAAUCCCAGCUGCUCCAGAGGCUGAGGCAGGAGAAUCGCUUGUACCUGGGAGGUGGAGGUUGCAGUGAGCCGAGAUCGCGCCAUUCGACUCCAACACGCGAAUCAAGAGCAAAACUCCGACACAAAAAAAAAAAAAGAAAAGAAAAGAAAAAGACAAGAAAAAGAGAGAGAGAUGUUGGAAAGAAAAGCCUCACAGAAGGCAGGGCACGGUGACUCAAGCCUGUAAUCCGAGAACUUUGGGAGGCUGAGGGGGGCGGAUGACGAGGUCAGGAGAUGGAGACCAUCCUGGCUAACAGGAUGAGACCGCCGUCUCUACUAAAAAUAGGAAAAAUUUGCUGGGCGUGGUGGCCUACGCCUGUAAUCCCAGCUACCCAGGAGGCUGAGGCAGGAGAAUCGCUGGAACCCGGGAGGUAGAGGCUGCAGUGAGCCGAGAUCGCGCCACUGCACUCCAGCCUGGGCGACAGAGCAAGAGUUUGUCUGUAAAAAAAAAAAAAAAAAAAAAAAAAAAAAAAGCCAGGGUGAGCGGUGGCUUAAGCCUGUAAUCGCAAGCAACACUUUGGGAGGCGGCGGCUCGGCAGAUCACCGGAGGUCGGGAGUUGGAGACCAGCCUGACCAACGUGGAGAAACCCCAUCUGUACUAAAAAUACAAACUUAGCCGGGCGUGGUGGCACAUGCCUGUAGUCCCAGCUGCUCGGGAGGCUGAGGCAGGGGAAUUGCUUGAACCCGGGAGGCGGAGGUUGCAGAGAGCCUAGAUCGCGCCAUUGGACUCCAGGCUGGGUAACAAGAGCGGAACCUCCGUCUGAAAAAAAAAAAAAAAAAAAAAAAAAAUUGGGAGAAUUUUGCUCCCACUGCCGUCAAAAUCCCAUGUGUAUUUCACACUUAACAGCGCAGCUCCAUUAGAACUGACCACAUUUCCAGGGCUCCCUAGAUACCUGUGGCUAGCGGCUGCCAUACUACACCGUGCUGGGCUGUAGAAUGGGGAUGACAAGACAGGGCGGCGGAGAUUGUGUUGGCGUGAAGCGAGGGAAACACUCGGCCGCAGGACAAAACUAAAACAGCAAGGGGGCACCGAAAGACUCAGUAGUCCACGUGAAUAUCCUGAUUAUGUUGUAGCUGAGAUAAUGUAGGGUCCACCCCUACCGGGUCUGUGGGUUUUCUCUUCGCGUGUGUGCGGAGACGAGAGAUCGAAGAGAUAAAGACAGAAGACAAAGAGAUAGGAAGAAAGACAGCUGGGCCCGGGGGACCACUGCCACCAAAGCGCGGAGACAGACAGGUAGUGGCCCCGAGUGCCUGGAGGCGCUGCUAUUUAUUGUAGUCAAGGCAAGGGGGCAGGGUAAGGAGUGCCAGUCAUCUCCAAUGAUCGAUAGGUCACGCGAGUCACGUGUCCACUGGACAGGGGGCCUUUCCCUUUGUGGUAGCCGAGGUGGAGAGGGAGGACAGCAAACGUCAGCGUUUCUUCUAUGCACUUAUCAGAAAGAUCGAAGACUGUGGUACUCCUACUAGUUCUGCUACUGCUGUCUUCUAAGAACUUAAAAGGAGGAGCCAGGUGUACAGGCUGAACAUGAAAGUGAACAAGGAGCGUGACCACUGAAGCACAGCAUCACAGGGAGACAGACGUUGGAGCCUCCGGAUGACUGCGGGCCGGCCUGGCUAAUGUCAGACCUCCCACAAGAGGUGGUGGAGCGGAGCGUUCUCUGUCUCCCCUGGAGAGAGGGAGAUUCCCUUUCCGGGUCUGCUAAGUAACGGGUGCCUUCCCAGGCACUGGGGCCACCGCUAGACCAAGGCCUGCUAAGUAACCAGGGCCUUCCCAGGCACUGGCAUUACCGCUAGACCAAAGUGUUCUAAAUAACAGGUGCCUUCCGAGGAAGAGGCACUACCACAAGACCAUGGAGCCCUCAAGCAGCCGUUAUCCGGGCAUGACAGAGGGCUCAUACUCUUGUCUUCUGGUUACCUCUCACAUUGUCCCCUCUACUUCUUACUCUGUAUGGCCUGUUUUUUCCUCGGUUAUAAUAACAAAGAUUAAUACUAAAAACUAAUAAUUGAUAAUAUCCAUAUGUAAUCAUCUCUGUAUCCUAUGUCUGAUAUAACUUUCUUUUAUCCUAUUUUCUUUAUUAUAUUGGAACAGCUUCUGCGUUCAGUGUCUUGCCUUGGCAUCUGGAUGGCUUUCUGUAGGGUGCAGCCCUACAGGGCCUGUGGGUUUUUCUGUAUGUGUGCGGAGACAAUAGAUCAUGGAAAUAAAAACACCGGACAAAGAGAUAGUAGAAAACACAGCUGGGCCCACGGGAACACUACCACGAAAACUCGGAGACCGGUAGUGGCCCUGAAGGCCUAGCUACGCUGUUAUUUAUUGUAUACAAGGCAAGGGGGCAUGGUAAGGAGUGCGAGUCAUGGCCAAUGAUAGGUAAGGGCACGCGAGUCAUGCAUCCACUGUACAGGGGGCCCUUCCCUGUUUGGUAGCCGAGGCAGAGACAGAGAGGGGAGAGCUUACGUCAUUAUUUCUUCUUUGCAUUUCUUGGGAAGAUCAAAGACUCUAAUACUUUCACUAAUUGUGCUGCUGCUAUCCAGAAGGCGGGGCCAUGUGCACAGAGCGGAAAAUGAAAGUGGACCAGGACCACUGAAGCACAGCAUCACAGGGAGACGUUUAGGUCUCCGGAUGCCUGCAGGCAUGGUUGCAGGCGGGUCUGACUAAUGUCAGGCCUUCCACAAGAGGUGGUGGAGCAGAGUCUUCUCUUACUCCGCAGGGAAAGGCAGAGUCCCUUUCCUGGUCUGCUAAGUAACGGGUGCCUUCCCAGACACUGGCGUUACCGCUUCACCAAGGAGCCCUCCUAGUGGCCCUGCCCGGGCAUGACAGAGGGCUCACACUCUUGUCUUCUGGUCACUUCUCACCAUGUUCCUUCAGCUCCUAUCUCUGUAUGGCCUAGAUUUUCCUAGGUUAUAAUUGUAGAACAGAGAUUAUUAUAUUGGAAUAAAGAGUAAUGCUACAAACUGAUUAAUAAUAUUCACAUAUAAUCACAUAUAAUCCUAUCUAUAUUCUAUUUCUAGUAUGACUAUUCUUAUUCUAAAUAUUUUCUUUAUUAUACUGGAACAGCUCGUGCUCUCCGUCUCUUGCCUUGGGACGUCGGUGGCUUACCACCCACAUCUCCCCACUUUUUAUUGACUAGGAUCAUCAUUGCCAUCAUUGCUUGUCGUUGACUUGGGACUUGUCCUCGGCCUCCUUGGAGACAUCUGCAGACUAAAAGUAGACAACAUAAACAUACCAGUAUUAAUAAUGCCAAUGACAACGAUGAUCCUCCGAGGGGUUUGAUCCAUUUAAAGGGAUUAAGAUCAGAUAAUCCUUUAGUUAUUCCUUCAAAACUGCCCAAGGCAGGAGCAGUAGUUAAAUGAGCCUGUGAGGCCUCAAAAACGUGUUCUUUAGGUUUUGAAAUAUCUAAGGUUAAGUUAUCAUCCCAGGCUUUUAAAUGUCUUGAGACUUCUUCCCCACUAUGUUGAUCUUUAUUAUAAACAUAAGGUUUUAUGCAAUAAUCAGAAGUAUUCCAAUCGCACUGUAAUUGCAUAUGGUGUUCCAGAUUCAUAACUCUAUCUCCCAGUCAGAUUACACUCUGGUGGAGAUAAUUAAUUUGAUUAGCCAAUUUUUGAUCAACUUGAGCAUGAGAAUUUCAGAGUUUGGUGGAGUUUUUUUUGCCAUGCUUCCACAUAUUGAGCGGUUUGAACAGAGUUGUGGAUAGCAACUCCAACGGUUGUCGCUGUUGCAGUAAUGGCAAUUAGUCCUGCAAUGACUGCAAUAAGAGUAAAAAUGAAUCUCUUGGUUCUUUUGAGGAUACCCUUAAGAAGUUCACUGACUAUGUGUAUAGAGGGGGAAGACUUCCAUGGAUGAUGUAAAGAAAUUAUAUCCAUACCCCCUUCCUAGCCCUUAUCAAAAGAAUACUUGUUCUGGGAUUAAAAGUAGCAUCGAUACACGUGAACAGCUUACAAUCAUUACAUUCUAUAGUUUGUGUAUUGGGAGUAAUAAUUAUAAUUCCAACUAGCAGCAUGUAAGGGGAUUUGACACAGCUCCUGAUAUGUAUCACCUGUCCUGACAUCAAGGUGAUCUUGAAUAUGAGUGUCUUGGUAUUAGUAGGAGAGAUUUGAUAGGUAGCGUUCCAUAUCCUUAUUCCUGUCAUGGCUGCAGCUAAUUUCCCUAAUUCAGGAUGUUCAGGGGUAACAAUUUGAUGAAUCAUUUUUGGUCUAGGAGGAACGAUUCCUGUGUUCCUCCAUUUGAAUGGAUAAGGGGCACCCAUUCCCUCAACCUGUAGAAUUGCCAUCAGUCCUUUACAUAAUCUAACAAAUAAUUAAACUCCAAGCAUUUGGCAUUUUAGCCAGAGCAAUUUCUCCAAUAAUACCCUCUUGGGGCCCAGUCAAUAACAGCACCCAUAGCUAGAUUUUGGAACACUACGGCCUUUGGAGCAUUACAAUCAUUCCAUAAAAUUGAAUUUAGUAGAAAAUGUCCCUUUGUAGGUUCCUUUGAGCAGUCUGGCAAUCCUUUUGUUUUAUUGCUUUUAGUAGUGACAGGAACUCUCCAUUCCUCAUGUGGAUUAAGUUUAACAUUCAUGAGUUGAAAAGAAUUGCUCCUGCACUUGAUAAGAAUCAUUACUAGAGGACUGUAUGGUCCACAUCGAAUUCUGAUAAGAAUAAGCUAAGCAGCCAGGCAACAUUCCAAUACACAGUGGUGGAUAUUUGUAGCCAAUUGACAAAUUAAAGUGCAUACCUUUUACUUCUGGUUGAGCUGGAAACCUGUCAUCAUUGGGGACUGGCAUGAAGACACUAUUAUUAGUGUAAACUUCCACUGAGGAGUCCAUCCAGGAGACAGACCGAAUUAAAGGGGGAAAAGGAAUGUAUGCCCAGUAGGUAUAAUUUUGAGUUGCCCCAACCCCUGGUAUACUCACCACUGCACUGACCACCAUAAAGGCAGCCAGAAUUAUAUUACCCGUCACUUUUGGAAUUCCUUUUUCUUGUAGUUAUUUCUCUGUUUGAUGGGAUAAGACCUUUAUCUGGCCCCAUGUUGGUAGAGUAGAAUGACUGGUGUUGGAGGUCACACGGUGAGAUUUUGUUGUAAUGUCGAGGUCAUGGAAUUUAUGUGUCAGGUGGCAAAACUUGCUCUUUGAUUUCUGAGGCUUCUUUGCCUUUUGUUUCUGAGAGUUCUUCAUCCUUGGAGUUAAAAUGCAAUCUCAGUUGAUGGGAGGGAACCCACACGGGUUGUUGUCCUUCUCCUGGGGAAACACAAGCGAAACCCCUACCCCAUGUUACCACAGUGCCUAAUUCCUAUUUGUCAGUUUUUGUAUCCUUCCACCAUACCCACUUUCCUUUUUGUGGAUCAAAUCUGUUUCCAGUGAAAUGUUGUUCUGCUGCUGUAAAAGGUUGAUUUCUUGCUAGGUUUAAGAAAUUGAGUGUAAAAAGAACAAAAUUUAACUGAGUAUGGGGGUAGGAGCAUCCUUCUUCUCUUUAGUGUCCUGUUUUCAAAGUUGGUCUUUCAGCAUUUUAUUAACUCGUUCUACCAAUGCCUGUCCUUGACAGUUAUAGGGAAUGCCAGUUGUGUGAGUAAUUCCCCAUGUCUGAGUGAACUUUUUAAAAUCAUUGCUAAUGUAACCAGAAAAUUGUCAGUUUUUAGUUUCUCAGGACAUCCCAUAACCAAGAAACAUGAAACCAUGUGCUGUUUAACAUGAGCCGUACUUUCCCCCGUUUGACAUGUGGCCCAGAUAAAAUGAGAAAAAGUGUCAAUAGUUACAUGCAUAAAAGAGAGUUUGCUGAAAGCUGGAUAAUGAGUCACGUCCAUUUGCCAGAGAAUAUUUUGUGAAAGUCCUCUAGGGUUAACUCCUGAAGAAAGUGGAUGUAAAAUUAACACUUGGCAAGUAGGACAGUGACAUACAAUGGUUUUAGCUUGCUUCCAUGUGAAGCAGAACUUUUUUCCGAGUCCCGCAGCAUUGACUUGAGUUACAGCGUGAAAAUUUUCUACGUCCAUAAAAAUGGGAGCAACUAAUGUAUCAGCGCUGGCAUUUGCUGCUGAGAGAGGUCGGGGAAGGGCAUGUGAGCCCGAACGUGAGUAAUGUAGAAGGGAGAAGACCUUGCUCUGAGUAGGGACUGAAACUUUUGGAAAAGAAAAAGUGGUUAUCAUCAGGCAGAAAUGUGUUUAAGGCAGUUUCAAUGUUGCAAGCAACACCUGCUGCGUACACCAAAUCAGAAACUAUGUUAACUGGUUCAGGGAAAUAUUCAAGAACAGCCAUGACAGCAGUCAGCUCAGCUUGUUGUGCUGAAGUAGCUCCUGAGUUAAGGACACAUUCUUUUGGCCCUGCAUAUGCUCCUUGGUCAUUACAGGAAGCAUCAGUAAAAACAGUGACAGCUUCAGCUAAUGGAGUAUCCAUAGUAAUGUUAGGUAAGAUCCAAGAAGUAAGUUUAAGGAACUGAAAUAGUUUUACAUUAGGAUAAUGAUUGUCAAUUAUACCCAGGAAACCUGCCAAAUGUACUUGGCAAGCAAUGCAGGUUGCAAAAGCCUGUUGGACUUGUAAUCAGGUGAGGGAAACAAUGAUUUUUUGGGGCUCUGUACCCAAAAGAUGAAGAAGGUGAGAAAGAGCUUGACCAAUUAGGAUAGAAAUUUGAUCUAGAUAAACGGUAAGCGUCCGUAAAGAGCUGUGUGGAAGAAAGCACUAUUCAAUUAAAUUAUGUCCCUGGAUAAUGAGUCCUGUUGGUGAAUGUUUAGUAGGAAAGAUUAGUAUUUCAAAAGGUAAAUAUGGAUUCGCCCUGGUUACCUGAGACUGUUGAAUGCGUUUUUCUAUAAGUUGUAAUUCAGAAUCUGCCUCAGGGGUCAAAGACCUUUUGUUGCAUAAAUCAGGAUUGCCCCAUAAUGUUGCAAACAGAUUAGACAUAGCAUAUGUAAGAAUGCCUAAGGAGGGGCAAAUCCAAUUAAUAUCUCCAAGCAUUUUUUGGAAAUCAUUUAGCGUUUUUAGAGAGUCUCAUCUGAGUUGAACCUUUUGGGGCUUAAUAACCUUGUCUUCUAGCUGCAUUCCUAAAUAUUGAUAAGGAGAAGAAGUUUGGAUUUUUUCUGGAGCGACAGCCAAACCAGCUGUUGCAACUGCUUGUCGUACUGCAGAGAAACAAGAUAUUAAUACAGAACGUGAAGGCACUGCACAAAGAAUAUCAUCCAUGUAAUGAAUGAUAAAAAAUUGGGGAAAUUGAUCUCUUACUGGCUUUAAUAUGCUCCCCACGUAAUAUUGACAAAUGGUAGGCUAUUAAGCAUUCCCUGAGGUAGGACUUUCCAAUGGUAACGUGCUGUGGGAGCGAUGUUGUUAAGGGUUGGAACUGUGAAAGCAAAUUUUUCAAAGUCCUGAGGGGCCAGAGGAAUGUUGAAGAAGCAGUCUUUAAGAUCAAUGAUGAUAAGAGGCCAAUACUUGGGAAUCAUAGCGGGGAAAGGCAAGCUGGGUUGUAAUGUCCCCAUAGGCUGAAGGACAGCACUUACUGCCCUAAGAUCAGUAAGCAUUCUCCACUUACCGGAUUUCUUUUGGAUAACAAAGACAGGUGAAUUCCAGAUAGAAAAAGAUUGCUCGAUGUGUCCCAAUUUUAACUGUUCAAGGAUCAAAAUAUGGAGUGCCUCCAGCUUAUUUUUAGGGAGCGGCCACUGAUUUACCCAAACCGGUUUCUGAGUUUUCCAAGUCAAGGGGAUGGGAUUUGGAGGCUUGAUAGUGACCACUUCUAAAAAGAAUAACCAAGUCCCGUAAAAUCUGAUUUAUGGGUAGGUAUAAUAGGCUCGGUGAUGCCUUGUGCUGAUUUCCCUAAGCCCAUAACUUGAACAAAUCCCAUUUUUGUCAUAAUGUCUUUACUUUGCUGGCUGUAAUUGCCUUGUGGAAAAGAAAUCUGUGCCCCUCGUUGUUGUAAAAGUUCUCUUCCCCACAGGUUAACAGGAAUGGGUGUAAUGAGGGGGCAAAUAGUACCAAUCUGUUCUUCUGGGCCCGUACAGUGUAAAAUUGUAGAACUUUCAUAGACUUCUGAAGCCUGACCAACACCAACUAAUGCUGUGGACGCGUGUUCCUUUGGCCAGUGUCGGGGCCAUUGAUGUAAAGCGAUAAUGGAGACAUCAGCGCCCGUAUCAAUCAUUCCCUCAAACUUCCUUCCUUGAAUAUGCACAGAGCACACAGGACGAGUGUCAGAAAUCUUGCUGGCUCAAUAAGCUGCUUUGUCCUGAUAGUCUGUGCUACCAAAACCUCCAGUUCUGGUACAAGAACUGGAUCCUAAAGGAACGUAAGGGAGUAUAAGAAGCUGAGCAAUGCGGUCUCCAGCUGCCGUAUAUCAAGGGACUGCAGAGCUAAUGACAAUAUGAAUUUCACCUGAAUAGUCAGAAUCAAUUACACCAGUAUGUACUUGAACACCUUUUAAAUUUAGGCUUGAGAGAUCAAAUAGCAAACCGACACUGCCAGUCGGCAAGGGGCCAAAAACACCUGUGGGAACAGCAAUAGGUGGCUCUCCAGGUAACAGAGAAAUAUCUCUGGUACAACAGAGAUCUACUGAUGCUGAGCCUGUGGUGGCAGGGGACAAGCAUUGUACUGAGAUUCGUGUUGGGGCAGAGCCAUUAGAUCCUGUGGCACAAAUUGCUGAAGUGGGAAUUGGGAUGUAGGUUGAAUGGAUUGGGCUGGCAAGGCGCUCAUCUUGCUGGACGCCAGGGGCUCGGAGUUGAGGAAUGCCCCAUUGUUUGGAGGGGCCUAGGGCUGGCCCCUCUUCCCGUUUACCUGGAAGUGACCGUAAGGGAUUGCCAUCAAUAUCAAAUUUUGAAUGGCAUUGAGCCACCCAGUGAUUUCCUUUUUGGCAUCGUGGGCAUAUAGUAGAAAGUGGGGCUUGUUGUUGAAAAAAUUUUGGUUGUUGGUGUUGAAAAGAACAGCGGUCUGUAUGCCAAGGACAAUUUCUUUUAGAAUGUCCCGAUUGGCUGCAUAGGAAGCAUUUGCCAGGGAAUUGUCCAGGCAUUCGAAUAGAGACCAUGGCUUGUGCCAUGACCAUUGCUGUACGCAGAGUUCCCCUCACGCCUUCACAGACUUUAAUGUAUGAGGUGAGUACAUCACCCCCUGGUGGAAUUUUGCCUUUAAUGGGGCAAAUAGCCACCUGACAGUCUGGAUUUACUUGUUCAUAAGCCAUAAGUUCUAUAACAAGUCAUUGGCCCUGGCUAUCAGGGAUAGCUUUUUCUGCUGCGUCUUGAAGAUGGACAAUAAAGUCUGGAUACGGUUCAUGUUGUCCCCGUCUGACGGCUGUAAAACAUGGGCAUAGUUUGUCAUCAUCUUGAAUCUUGUCCCAAGCAUCUAAGCAGCAUUUCCACAGUUGUUCAAUAACCUCAUCAUUUAGUAUAGUUUGGUUUCGAAUUGCAGCCCACUGGCCCAUUCCCAGUAAUUGGUCGGCUGUAACAUUAACAGGAGGAUUAGAGCCCAAAGACGAAUGCAUUCCUGGAUAGCAUCAACCCACCAAGUCCUGAAUUGUAAAUAUUGAGAUUUAGAUAAGACUGACUGCUAAAAUCUCCCAGUCAUAGGGCACCAAGUGUUUAUUUUCUGCUAGGGCUUUUAAUUUGGAAUGGACAAAAGGGGAGUUGGUGCCAUACUGCUUCACAGAUUCUUUGAAAUCUUUGAGGAAUUUAAAAGAAAAACUUGGCCAGGUGCGGUGGCUCACUCCUGUAAUCCCAGCACUUUGGGAGGCCCAGGCAGGUGGAUCACAAGGUCAGGAGAUCGAGACCAUCCUGGCUAACAGGGUGAAAGUCUGUCUCUACUAAAAAUACAAAAAAAAAAAAAAAAUUAGCCGGGCAUGCCUGGGAGACAGAGCGAGACUCCAUCUCAAAAAAAAAAAAAAAAAAAAAAGAAAAAAAAACUUUCCUAAGUAGCGGGACAUAGCUGAACCUGGCCUGGAUGUAUAGGGUCAGGUUGAACUACUGCCUGAACUACUGGAACAUCAGGAACUGGCUGUGUCUCAGCGGCAGGCAGUUGUGGAGCCUGAUUAUUUUCCUGAGCAGCCUGAUUGUCAGGCUGUUGAUCUUGACGGGUUGCGGGAUCAGCUGCCUGCUGAGAAGGAUCAGCAGGCUGUGGCUGAUUUUGUGCCACUGGGACGGCGGGUAUUGGAGGUUGUAAAAUUACAGGAAAUUGCCAGGCUUCGGGAUCCCCAUAUUCUCUUGUCUGAGCUAUAGCCCUCAUAAAAGGAGUGUCAUUUUCAGGGAUGUAUAUAGCUCAUUGCUUAUGAGCGGCAAUGGUGGUAUUGGCCACCACAGUAGCAACUGGACCAGAAGCAGGAAAAAGUUUGGAAUUUUGAAUGGAGGAAGAGUUGAGAACCUGUAGGCCAGGAUGAGACGAGAUUACCUGCUGGGCAGGUCUUUCAUGGGCCUGAGGCUGCCGCAGUAACUGUGGACCAGGCUUCAAGGGAGCCUGAGGUUUCAAGGGAGCCUGAUUUGUCAGAAAAGACCCAGGCUUCAAGGAAGUGUGAUUUGCCGAAAGAGACCCAGGCUUCGAGGGAGACUGAUUUGCCAAAAGAUACCCAGGCUUCAAGGGAGACUGACUUGUCAAAAGAGAACGAGAAGAGAGAGGUGGAAAAAUAGGUUGAAUAUGGAUAGGGUUGAGGGCCUCAUAACUGGGCUGAACUGGUAGAAAGUUGAGAGCCCCACAGCGGGGCUGAACAGAGAUAGGGUUGAGGGCCUCAUUACCAGGCUGAAUAGGCAAGAAGUUGAGAGCUCUACAGCAGGGCUGAACAGGGAUAGGGUUCAGGGCCUCAUUACCAGGCAGGGAAUUGAGAGCCUCUUCACCGGGCUGUGUAGAAAUUGGAGCCUCUGUACCAGGCUGCAUGAAAACAUAGUUUAGAGCCUCUUUUUCAGGCUGCAUCAUCUCAUUUUCUAUCUGCAUAGCUGGAGAGUUGAGAGUUUGAGGAAAGGUAGGAGGGUACAGCUGUGAUGGCUGUUGAUAAUAUCUUUCAGCUGGAUUUUGCUGGUUGGGGGAAAUAAAUUCAUUCAGAUCAGUUAAAAGUUCAUCAUAAAGCGAUAACCGGGGCAUGGUAGGCUCUGGCGUAGGUGGUGGCACCAAAGGAAUAUCAGAGUGGAGGUCCAUCUGUAGAACUAUGGCCUCAAUCUGUGCAGUAUCCUCAGGUGAAAAAGAACUAAGCACUUCCUCAGCCUCCUCAGAGGAAAGAGGGAUCAGUCUCCAUGUUGUCCUCCUGAGUCUGUAAAGAGUCUAGGACAGAGCGAACCGAAGCCCAGAUUGACCAAAUUGGGGGUGGAAUAAUAUGCCCGCCUUUAUGAGCAAUUUUGAAUGUCUGCCAAUCUCAUCCCAAUCCUUAAGUUCUAAAGUUCCCUCAGUAGGAAACCAAGGGCAAAGAAGAUCUACAACAUCAAACAGUUCAAUUAACUUAUCAGUAGAUACUUUUAACCACUCCUUCUUUAAGGAGAGUUUUUAUAAAAUUUAAAUAAGCUGAGUACUUAGUACAGGCCUGUCCCUUGGUGUCCCCGGGAUACUCUGAGUGCCCAAGCUUACCACCAAGCUUAUUGACCUCAAUCCUCAGGAAUCUGUCAUUGAAAUCCUCUGCUGUGUUUCACGCUCAAAGUGCAACUUCACACAGCGAGAGAGAAAUUCUCGUUGGGCGCCAGAUGUAGGGUCCAACCCUACAGGGCCUUUGGGGUUUUCUCUUGUGUGUGGAGAUGAUAGAUCAUAGAAAUAAAGACACAAAACAAAGAGAUAGAAUAAAAGACAGCUGGGCCCGGGUGAACACUACCACCAAGACGCGGAGACCGGUAGUGGCCCCGAAUGCCUGGCUGUGCUGUUACUUAUUGUAUACAAGGCAAGGGGGCAGGGUAAGGAGUGCAGGUCAUCUCCAAUGAUAGGUAAGGUCACGUGAGUCACGUGACCACUGGACAGGGGCCCUUCCCUAUUUGGUAGCUGAGGUGGAGACAGAGAGGGGACAGCUUACGUCAUUAUUUCUUCUAUGCAUUUCUCGGAAAGAUCAAAGACUUUAAUACUUUCACUAAUUCUGCUACCGCUGUCUAGAAGGCCAGGCUAGGUGCACAGAGUGGAACAUGAAAAUGAACAAGGAGCGUGACCACUGAAGCACAGCAUCACAGGGAGACGUUUAGGCCUCCAGAUGGCUGUGGGCAUGGCUGCGGGUGGGCCUGACAAAGAUCUUCCACAAGAGGUGGUGGAGCAGAGUCUUCUCUAACUCUCUCCCUUUCCUGGUCUGCUAAGUAACGGGUGCCUUCCCAGGCACUGGCGCUACCACUAGACCAGUCUGCUAAGUAACGGGUGCCUCCCCAGGCACUGGCGUUACCGCUAGACCAAGGAGCCCUCUAGUGGCCCUGUCCGGGCAUGACAGAGGGCUCACACUCUUGUCUUCCGGUCACUUCUCACCGUGUCCUUUCAGCUCCUAUCUCUGUAUGGCCUAAUUUUUUCUAGGUUAUAAUUGUAAAACAGAUAUUAUUAUAAUAUUGGAAUAAAGAGUAAAUCUACAAACUAAUGAUUAAUAUUCAUAUAUGAUCAUAUCUGUAUUCUAUUUCUAGUAUAACUAUUCUUAUUCUAUAUAUUUUAUUAUACUGGAACAUCUUGUGCCUUCGGUCUCUUGCCUCAGCACCUGGGUAGCUUGCCGCCUGUAGGGUCCAGCCCUACAGGGUUUAGUGGGUGUUCUACCCAUGUAUGGAGAUGAGAGAUUAUAAGAGAUAAAGACACAAGACAAAGAGAUAAAGAGAAAACAGCUGGGCCCAGGGGACCAUUACCACCAAGACGCAGAGACCAGUAGGGGCCCGGAAUGGCUGGGCUCGCUGAUAUUUAUUACAUACAAGACAAAGGGGGAAGAGUAAGGAGGGUGAGACGUCCAAGUGAUUGAUAAGCUCAAGCAAGUCACAUGAUCAUGGGACAGGGGGCCCUUCCCUUUUAGGUAGCUGAAGCAGAGAGGAAAGGCAGCAUACAUCAGUGUUUUCUUCUAGGCACUUAUAAGAAAGUUCAAAGAUUUUAAGACUUUCACUAUUUCUUCUACCACUAUCUACUAUGAACUUCAAAGAGGAACCAGGAGUACAGGAGGAACAUGAAAGUGGACAAGGAGCAUGACCACUGAAGCACAGCACCACGGGGAGGGGUUUAGGCCUCCAGAUGACUGCAGGGCAGGCCUGGAUAAUAUAAAGCCUCCCACAAGGAGGUGGUGAAGCAGAGUGUUUCCUGACUCCUCCAAGAACAGGGAGACUCCCUUUCUUGGUCUGCUAAGUAACGGGUGCCUUCCCAGGCACUGGCAUUACUGCUUGGCCAAGGAGCCCUCAACCGGCCCUUAUGUGGGCAUGACAGAGGGCUCACCUCUUGCUUUCUAGGUCACUUCUCACAAUGUCCCUUCAGUACAUGAUCCUACACCCAUCAAUUAUUCCUAGGUUAUAUUAGUAAUGCAACAAAGACUAAUAUUAAAAGCUAAUGAUUAAUAAUGUUUAUACAUUAUUGAUUGAUAAUUGUCCAUGAUCAUCUCUAUAUCUAAUUUGUAUUGUAAGUAUUCUUUAUUCUAACUAUUUUCUUUAUUAUACUGCUACAGUUUGUGCCUUCAGUCUCCUGUCUUGGCACCUGGGUAAUCCUUCGUCCACAGCUGCCCAAAUCUCCCCUCUUUUUAUUGACUAGGAUCAUCAUUGCCAUCAUUGCUUGUUGACUUUGGGCUUUUCAUCGGACUCCCUGAAGACAUCUGCAUACUAAAAGCAGACAACAUAAACACACCAAUAUCAGUAAUGCUAGUGACAAUAGUGAACCUCUAAGGGGUUUGAUCCGUUUAAAAAGAUUAAGAUCGGAUAAUACUUUGGUGAUUUCCUCAAAAAUAUGAGAGCCAGGAACGGUAGUUAAGUGAGCCUGUGAGGCCCCCAAAAUUUGCUCUUUCAGUUUUGAAAUAUCUUAAGUUAGAUUAUCAUCCCAGGCUUUGAAUGUCUCAUGACUUUUUCCCAGCUAUGCUGAUCUUUUUUAUAAGCAUAAGGCAUUAUGCAAUAAUCAGAAUUAUUCCAAUCACAUUGUAAUUGCAUACGGUGUUGCAAAUUCAUAACUCUAUCUCCCAGCCAUAUCACACUCUGGUGGAGAUCAUUAAUUUGAUUAGCCAAAUUUGAUCAACUUGAGCCUGAGAAUUCCAGAGUCUGGUGGAGUUUUUGUUUGUUUGUUUGUUUUUUUGCCACACUUCCACAUAUUGAGUGGUCUGAACAGAGUUGUGGAUAGCAACUCCAGCUGCCAUUGCUGUGGCAGUGACAGCAAUUAAUCCUGCAAUGACUGCAAUAAGAGUAAAGAUGAAUCUCUUCGUUCUCUUAAGGAUUCCUUUAAGGAUUUCAUUGACUAUAUGAAUAGAGGGAGAAGACUCCCAAGGGUGGUGUAAAGAAACGGUAUCCUUACCCCCUCCCUAGCCCUUACCAGGAGAAUACUUGUUAUGGGAUGAAAUGUAACACGAAUACAUGUAAACAAUUUGCAAUCAUCAAAUUCUAUGGUUUGGCUGUUGGGGGGUGAUAAUUAUAUUUCCGACUAAUAGCAUAUAAGGGGAUUUUACACAGCUCCUGCUAGGUAUCACCUGUUCAGACAUCAAGGUGACUUUGUAUACGUCUGUCUUGGUAUUAGUGGGAAUGAUCUGAUAGGUUACAUUCCAUAUCCUAAUUCCAGUCAUGGCAGCAGCCAAUUUCCACAAUUCAGGAUGUUCUGGGGUAACAAUAGGAUGAAUCACUUUUGGUCUAGGAGGAAUGAUCACUUUGUCCAUCCAUUUGAAUGGGUAAGGAGACACCCAUUCCCUCAGCCUGUAGGACUGCCAUCCCUCCUCUACAUAAUCUAUCAAAUAGUUGAACUCAGAAUAUUUGGCAUUUAGGCUGGAAAAAUUUAGCCAAUAAUAUCCUCUUGGA
rnacentral:lncRNA from 1 species